rnacentral:lncRNA from 1 species
AUUUUGCUUAAAGCAGUCUCCCCUACACUGUGAAAACAAUCCCCCCAAAAGGACAUACAACUAAGAAAAAUAAAGCCCUGUGGAUCUAGUUUUGUUAAAUCAAUUUAAGCUUUCUUAGGAGACUUGGUGGCCUUUGAUGGAGAUUUGGGUUCUUUGCCGGCGGCCUUUUCAGUCUUCUUCGGCAAAAGAACUGGGUUAAUGUUCGGCAACACACCACCGUGAGCGAUGGUUACGCCGGCGAGAAGCUUCCCUAAUUCUUCGUCGUUCCUCACGGCAAGUAGCACGUGCCUUGGGAUGAUCCUGUUUUUCUUGUUGUCACGUGCAGCGUUCCCAGCCAAUUCCAGAACCUGAAUCCAAAUUCAAAUUAAGAAACACGAAAUUCAAGUAAACGAAAACACAGUUAAAGGAUUUGAUUUUAAUUUGAUAUACCUCAGCGGCCAAGUACUCAAGAACUGCAGCCAAGUAAACCGGGGCUCCGGUCCCGACCCGCUGUGAAUACCUUCCUUUCUUCAAGUAACGGCCGAUCCUACCAACUGGGAACUGGAGACCGGCUUUGACAGACCUUGAAACGGGCUUCUUCUUCGGGCCACCACCUUUCCUUCCUCCGGCUCCCUUCUUUACUUUUCCGGUAGUUUCCAUUACUUCGAACCGACCAAAUGCUUCGUUAACUUAAAUCUCUUAGCUUUAAAAUUAGAGGGUAUUGAUUGGUACAGGAGAACUGAAGGGUGGAAGGGACGACUCGGUAUUUUAUAGCAGUGGAUUUGGGGGAGAUGGUGUGAAGCGGGCGAGGAAUGAGUGCCGUUAGAUGGGAACUUAUUCGACGGUUCAAAUUUAGAUUUUGGCGAUCCGUGCGAUCUCGAAACAACCAAUGAGAAACAAGCUAUCAAUUUUUUGAAUUUUUAUCUCAUUCUGAAGUAAGUUGGGCGCCAUUUACAAAUAUUUUUUGAUUUCCCGCUUCUGAAUUUCUGGUUUUUUGAAUGCAUUUGUGGUUAAACAUAUUUGUUCGUCAUUUUAGAAUUUUCAGGUUGAAAGUUGAAUUAAUUUAAUUAACUAAAAAAUAAAAUUAUAAUUAUUCGUAAUUAUUUAAUACAAUGUGACAAGAGUUUUUUAAACUCUACAUAUAAAAUUUGACGAUAGAAUAACUAGAUAGUAAUUCUUGAUGUGCCACAUGUAUAUUAUGUUAAUGUACAGAGACCAAUUUUUAAGAGUAAAAAUAGAUUAAAAAAAUUAAUAAAAUAACCAAUUUACUAUUUGAUCUAAUGUAAAUUGGUAGAAUUAGAUUCAUAAGUUGAAGGUUUAGGUUUGAGUUUUAUCAUACUCGUUAAGCUUUACCACCAAACCAAAGCGAUUGUACUCGUUAUCCAUUGAGCAAAGAGAAAUUAAAGAUCAAAAAUCAAACAACUCAUAAAAAUUAAACCCUAAUUUUGAAAUCAAUCACUUCAAUUUUAAGUAAGAAGUGAAGACACGUGAAACCCUUAAAUUCCUUUCUAGAAGAGAAAGAAAAUAAUGACAGAGACCAAUUUUUAAGAGUAAAAAUAGAUUAAAAAAAUUAAUAAAAUAACCAAUUUACUAUUUGAUCUAAUGUAAAUUGGUAGAAUUAGAUUCAUAAGUUGAAGGUUUAGGUUUGAGUUUUAUCAUACUCGUUAAGCUUUACCACCAAACCAAAGCGAUUGUACUCGUUAUCCAUUGAGCAAAGAGAAAUUAAAGAUCAAAAAUCAAACAACUCAUAAAAAUUAAACCCUAAUUUUGAAAUCAAUCACUUCAAUUUUAAGUAAGAAGUGAAGACACGUGAAACCCUUAAAUUCCUUUCUAGAAGAGAAAGAAAAUAAUGACAGAGACCAAUUUUUAAGAGUAAAAAUAGAUUAAAAAAAUUAAUAAAAUAACCAAUUUACUAUUUGAUCUAAUGUAAAUUGGUAGAAUUAGAUUCAUAAGUUGAAGGUUUAGGUUUGAGUUUUAUCAUACUCGUUAAGCUUUACCACCAAACCAAAGCGAUUGUACUCGUUAUCCAUUGAGCAAAGAGAAAUUAAAGAUCAAAAAUCAAACAACUCAUAAAAAUUAAACCCUAAUUUUGAAAUCAAUCACUUCAAUUUUAAGUAAGAAGUGAAGACACGUGAAACCCUUAAAUUCCUUUCUAGAAGAGAAAGAAAAUAAUGAGGUAAAAAUAAUUAUUUGAUACAAAACAAAAAGGCAAAGAGACCAAUAAACAAACAAGAGAAAAUACAGCUUUCAUGAAAUCAAAUGAUUAAAAUUGGGGAAAAAAAGAAAAUAAUACCUGAAUUUCCCCUCUAUUUUCUCUCUUUGAUAGUUGGAACAAAACUUCAUCUUUUCAGGAUUUGUUAACAAUUGUAUUGAAUUUUUACAUAAAGGGAUUGUUCUAAAGAGAGAAAAAUACAACAGAGAAAGAUAAACAAAGAGGUUGAAAAUAAUUUUAAUUAUUGGUAACUGUCACUCAACUUGUCAUUUAAACAACUCCAAUAAAAACCCUAACUAGACAUUAGAAGAAGAAGAGAAAAAAAAAACCCUAACAUAGACUCCAACGUGGCUAGUUAAAUGCCGCGCCAAUUUAUCGUAACGUUUGUAACAGAAAAUGGUUAGUAGGACCGAUUUGUUGUUUUUUGAAUGUUGAUUGGCUGUUUUAUCAUUGGAAUCAAAAUUAAACAACUGUUGGACAUGAGGAGCGGAAGGGUCUUCUUCAUUUUCUAAAACGACCCUUCUUUCUUUUCCCCUAUUUUCUUCAUAGAAUUUGAUUUUGAAGUUGAAAGUUUGGGUUUGGGUUUUGUCAUACUCGUUAAGCUUUACCACCAAACAAGGACCAUUAUACUCAUUAUCCAUUAAGCAAAAAGAAAUUAAAUAUAAAAAAUCAAACAACAACCCAUAAAAAUUAAACCCCAAAUCUGAAAUAAGUCGCUUUAAUAUCAAGAAAAAAGUCAAAUAAUCAAAAGAUAAAUGAAACCAUUAAUGUUUUUUCCAAACGAGAAAGGAAAUAAGGAGGUAAAAAUAAUUGUUUGUUACAAAACAAAUAAGCAAAGAGACAAAUAAGCAAACGGAAAAAAUAUAGCUUUCAUAAAAUUAAAGGAUUAAAAUUAGGGAAAAAAAUAAAAUAAAACCUGAAUUUCCCCUCUAUUUUCUCUCUUUCAUCGUUGGAAGAAACCUUAUCUUCGUCUUUUUAGGAUUUGUUAACAAUUGCAUUGAGUUUUUGGAUGAAGGGAUUGUUCUAAAGGGAGAAAAAUAUAACAGAGAAAGACAAACAAAUAAAUUAAAAAUAAUUUUAAGUUUUGGUAACUGUCACUCAACUUGGAAUUUUUUUUCCCUUCUUCUUAUACUAUCCAAUUAGGGUUUUUUAUCGGGGUUGUUUAAAUGACAACAUCGGCUCCAACGUGGCUGUUUAAAUGCCAUGUCAAUUUGUCGUUACGUUUGUAACAGAAAAUGGUUAAUAUGACUAAUUUGUUAUUUUUUGAAAGUUGAGUGUCUAUUUUAUUAUUGAAAUGAAAAUUAAAUGACUGUUGGACAUGAGGAGCGAAAGAGUCUUCUUCUUCUUCUAAAAUCGGUCCCUUCUUUCUUUUCCCUCAUUUUCUUCAUAUUUUUUCUUUUUGUUUUUGUGUUCUAUAUCUAGAAUAAUCUCACUUGGUAGACAAGAGCAAAGCUAGGAAAUUGUUUUAGGGAGGGUCGAAAUUAAAUUGUAAUUUUUACAACAGUAAAAAUGCAAUUUCAUCAUUUUAAUAGUCACUAUCUUUAUAAUUUAAAGGAUUAAAUUAAUUUUUUAUAUUUUUAGGGGGUAAUUUGUAAUUUUAUAUUUUCUAAUUUAAAAUUUUUAAAAUUUCAAAAUGGCAUAAAUGAAUUUUUCAUUUUAGGAGGGGCCGGGCCGAGGCCUCUGCUAUCCCCCUGGUUUCGCCCCUGUUAGUAGAAUUUGAUUUUGAAGUUAAAUGGUUGAGUUUUAUCAUACUCGUUAAGCUUUACCACCAAGCCACGAUGAUUAUAUUUGUUAUCCAUUAAGUAAAAAGGAAUUAAAGAUAAAAAAAAAUCAAACAACAGCGUAUAAAAAUUAAACCUCAAUCCUGAUAGGGUUGUUUAAAUGACAACAUAAACUCUAACUUGGUCAGUUAAAUACCACGCCAAUUUACCAUUACGUUUGUAACAAAAAUUGUUUAAUAGGAAUACUUUAUUAUUUUUUAAAAGUUUAGUGACUAUUGGUAUAAAUUACGAUAUUUUUUACCUAUAAAUAAAUAAUAAAAUAUUAUUCAUGUUUGAACUUACAGCCUGUGCCAUUACAACUUAAUUCUAUGGGCCCACCACAAACCCUUGAUUGGUUCAAUGGAAUGUGUAUUACAGGUGUUGCUGUUUGGUUUUCUAUUCCCGCUCAUCACUGAAUAGAGGAUGAGUAGCAUUCUUUGCCUCACCCUUUGAAUUGCCAUUCAAAGCACGGUAGGAAUGCUGGGAGAUUACUUUUUUUUUUCAUUUUUACCCUCAUUUUUCAUCGUCAUCAUUUAUGCAGUUUCAACUACAGCCUCUACAUUCAUUACCUUCUCCAUUUAUAAAGCCCUAAACACCAUUGCCCCUCACCAAUUUUUUCAAUCUUUUCCUCAUAGGAAUCGAGAUCGUAGAAAUUUCUCAAAUAAGGGCAAAAUCUUCAGCAAGGAAAAAAAUCUAGACUCAAUUGAAGAACACAUUAGCUUCUGGUUUUGAUUUCAAAGCGAUUCAAGACAAGGUUUCUCUUCUUUUAAGACCUUGGCAUCGUUCAUUUCAAUUCUGGGUUCGAGCAAUUGAUAUUUAUACGGGCUAUAAGUUCCCUUCUUUAUCUUCUCCUUCUUUUGAUUAUUCUUCUUGUUGUUAAUUUGAUAGUUUUUUAUUGUUGGGUAAUUGUUGAAAUGAUAGGUGUUUCAACUUCGAGUGAGUUUUGUGAAGGAUCCACAAAAGCAAUAAGCAAUGUGGGAUGAACAACAUGAGCUUGCUGCUGAUAAAAUUUACGUUAUGUGUUAUGAUCUUGGUGGGUUUUUCCUUAAGGUAUACACAUUGACUGGUUUGAAAAUGGUUCAAAUUUGAAUGGGUUUCUUUAUGUUUUUUUAGUUUCUUUACUGUUUGAUUCUUAUUGAUUGAUUUAGCUGUUGUAAUUCUUCGUAUUGUCUGUACAUGUUUGUCCUAGUACUAUCCAAGGAUACGUGGAAUAGAUGUUUGAAAAUUCAUUACAUUUUGUAGUUUAGGACUUGGUGUUGACAAGCAUAAAGGUUGUAUCGAUGUAGAUUCACUCAUUUUAUCUUUUCAUAUUUGUGUGCUUAUCAGCGAGUUAGUAAUGAGGUUUGUUAUCCAGGUUAAUGUUGCAUCAUUGACCCUUAAUAUAUUUUAGUUUUUUAGAUAAAACCAUGGCUUUAAAAAUCAGAUCGGCUAAUUCAACAGGUUGAACCAAGAAGCUAUUGAUUUGGAAAAUUUAUAAGUUGAAUUGGAAAAUUUUAGAGACUUGAUCUAGAAAAAAUAAAAAAUAGAUAGUCCAACUGAUUCAACCUUCUAUUUGGUUUUUUCAACGAUGGAUAAACCAUGUAACGUUUUAGCUAUGAAGUUAAAGAUAUUGAGAUUUUGUAAGGCAAUAAUACAUUUGAUGUAAUAUGAAGCUGCAUUCUUUAGAAUGAAAUGAGGAAUGGUUUUUGAGACAAAGGGAUUACGGAUCUCAAACUCCUUUUGUAUUUAUGUUUAGUUUUCUUCAUAUUUUUUAAUAAUAUAAAGAACUAUGAAUUUUUUAAUAACUUAAAAUGAAGGACUAUGGUUUUUGAAUAACAUAAAGAACUAUAAGCUUUGAUUUUUUAUUUCACAUAUGAAAAGAACUAAUGUUACUAAAAUUUAGUAAUUUUCAUGUAAAAUUUGAAGGUUUUUAUUAAAGAGUAUACUUUAUAAUUAAUUGUUGUUGCCAUGCUAUUAUAAAGUAUAAAAUAAAAUAUAACAAAUUUGCCUUCUAUUAAAAUUGACUAUUAAAAUACAAUGUUAUUAGAGGAUUAUCAUAAUGUAUGUAAAACCCAUUUUUAUACUCGUGAUUGUAACCUAUUUGUAAGAGAAUAGGUGAGAGGCUAGAUUGAAGCAAAUAUAUUAUACAUUGAAAUAUUAUUAAUAAUUAUGUUAAAAUAUGAAUAAAUUAUUUAUUUUUAUUUUUAUUAAAUUAUAUUUAAUAAUAACCUUAUUAAAAUUUAAUAACAAUAAAAAUAAUCAUUUACCUAAUACAAAAUCCUGCUAAGGGUAGUUUGAUCAUUUAAGCCAUUUUCCUUAUAUUAUUACAACUCAUAUUACAUUCAACCAAACACAAGAAUAUUAUUACAGAUAUAUUUCAUUCUAUUUAAUUAAACAACUGCAUUACUAAUUUCAUUUUUAUUCUAUUACAAUCCUAUUUCAUUCCCCCAACUAAAAUUUAACGCCAACAAUAACUUCAACAACUAAUCAAAAGAACCCUUAGAAGCUAUCAUGUGAGUAUUGGUUGUACAAACCACAUGAUAAAUUAUCAAGAAUAGAAACUAGAUGUUUCAUUUCCAUUAAAGUAACGUACAUGAUAAUGGGAUUCUAACACUUCUUCCAGUUUGCUUAAAACAUCCCAAAGGAAAUACAACUAAGAAAAAUAAAGCCCUAUUAAACUAAGUUUCUUAACAAUCAAAUUAAGCUUUCUUAGGAGACUUGGUAGCCUUUGAUGGAGAUUUGGGUUCUUUGCCGGCGGCCUUUUCAGUCUUCUUCGGCAAAAGAACUGGGUUGAUGUUCGGCAACACACCACCAUGAGCGAUGGUUACGCCGGCGAGAAGCUUCCCUAAUUCUUCGUCGUUCCUCACGGCGAGUAGCACGUGCCUUGGGAUGAUCCUGUUUUUCUUGUUGUCACGUGCAGCGUUCCCAGCCAAUUCCAAAACCU